AUAACUCUAAGCAAAGGCUACAUGCCUUGCCUAUAGCUUUAACUUUCUCACGUAUGCCCCGACAUCGAACUCAGAUUAUAGAACUUGGCCUCUAUGCCAUGUUCUCUUACAAUCGACGACAAUACUUAGUAGCUCAUGGGCAUGCGUCUCUAGUUGUCUGAACUAUUCUACGCUUUUGCUGCGCCACUCUGAUCCUCGCCCGCCUUUCUUCUUCUUUACUAUACUGGCUUUUUCUCUUUUAAUCCCUUCUAACUAUACUGGACUCUCUCUAGCUCUCUAGCUCUUUAGCUCUCUAGCUAUCUGUUUCUAUAGGAUAGGAUAAACUGAGAAGUGACUUCUGACUGAGGGCAGCUACCAUCUCAGCUGUCUUACCCAGUAAAUACUGUCUGAUAUACUUAGAGUCGCUGAGCAGUUUUUUCCUUACCUCUGGGUUAGCCUCGUCACUAUACUACAGAUCUCAUCUCUACGCAACUGCUAACCUGAUUUUUCUCUACCUAUCGACAUAUAGUUCCCAAGUCUCAGAUCAUACGGAAUGAGCUAGUCCAAAAGAUCCUCCAUUCUGUAUGGGAACACCUGGCCUUGGUAGUGCUUUUGUGCAACUGUUCACAGAUGUGAUAAAGUCGCAAGGUUUCCUCCUUCGUUUCUCACAACGAUACUGGAACAUUCCAGGGUGUAGUACUAAGUCGGAUAGAAGCCUUCGCUACCAAGUUCACAGUUGCUCUACCAUCUUUCUCACUUAUGCAAUUCUUUGUCUAUCUACAUGCUACAGGUACCACUUCAAAGGAAGAGGUGAAAAUGAAUCUAGUCUCCAUCUUCACUUACCGACUCUAUAUUGUUUUACCAAUGGUAACCCUGUUAGCUUGUCUGGAGUAACACAGAUAACUCUCUUUCUCUCUUUCUGAUUAUGGGUAUUGAGACUGGUUCCCUGACCUGGCUCCUAUGUUCUCACCCAAGAGCAAGAAAACCCCUGACUACCUUUCCUAAAGCGUUCACGAGCCUGUAGGGCUGCUAGCAAACUUCUGGGUAUGCUAUACUGUCCCCUCAAAGGACUAACUCUGACCCAUCCGAGCCUCU
rnacentral:lncRNA from 1 species